GUGAACAUACCUAUAACGUUGCCUCGGCGGGAACAGACGGCCCCGUAACACGGGCCGCCCCCGCCAGAGGACCCCCUAACUCUGUUUCUAUAAUGUUUCUUCUGAGUAAACAAGCAAAUAAAUUAAAACUUUCAACAACGGAUCUCUUGGCUCUGGCAUCGAUGAAGAACGCAGCGAAAUGCGAUAAGUAAUGUGAAUUGCAGAAUUCAGUGAAUCAUCGAAUCUUUGAACGCACAUUGCGCCCGCCAGUAUUCUGGCGGGCAUGCCUGUUCGAGCGUCAUUACAACCCUCAGGCCCCCGGGCCUGGCGUUGGGGAUCGGCGGAAGCCCCCUGCGGGCACAACGCCGUCCCCCAAAUACAGUGGCGGUCCCGCCGCAGCUUCCAUUGCGUAGUAGCUAACACCUCGCAACUGGAGAGCGGCGCGGCCACGCCGUAAAACACCCAACUUCUGAAUGUUGACCUCGAAUCAGGUAGGAAUACCCGCUGAACUUAAGCAUAUCAAUA
rnacentral:rRNA from 1 species